GACGAACCGAGCGAACGUUGUUCGGAAUCACUGGGCUUAAAGGGCGCGUAGGCGGGCUGCCGCGUCCGGGGUGAAAUCCCACGGCUCAACCGUGGAACGGCCCCGGGUACGGGCGGCCUCGAGGGGGGUAGGGGCGUGCGGAACUGUGGGUGGAGCGGUGAAAUGCGUUGAUAUCCACAGGAACUCCGGUGGCGAAGGCGGCACGCUGGACCCCCACUGACGCUGAGGAGCGAAAGCCAGGGGAGCAAACGGG
rnacentral:rRNA from 1 species